rnacentral:tRNA from 1 species
GUCAGGAUGGCCGAGCGGUCUAAGGCGCCAGACUUAAGUUCUGGUCUUCGGAGGGAGGCGUGGGUUCGAAUCCCACUUCUGACA